UUACGAAGAAUACUAAAUUGAUUAGGAAAUUAAACUAGGUUCUGAUUUAUGUCAGAGAAAUUUUCAGAGCGUUUACGUUCAGUGUACGUUUUUCAUCAACGGUUUUCAAUCACUCGCGAAACUUUAUCUCCGCUCCUGAUCCAAAAUAAAAGUAUUCUACACUGUACAUGAUGUUUGUGGUGCCACGAUGGAUGAUAUUCCGAAGGCCAACAGUUGAAGCUGUCAUCGAUCCCCGGAUCGGAUUCACAGUGCUGGAGUUAGUGCUCCUCGUUUACGCUGGGUUCCUUCAUAGUUGCCGAUCACUAUUGCAUCAGCUGGCAAGGUUUCCCCUGAUUGAUUGGAUUACUGGAGUGUAGUGACGUCCGUCUUACUUCCGACAGAAAAGAUCCGGAUGGUUUGAUCAUCAAGAAGCCCGAUUCAGCAUCCGCAAGCCCAGACUUGUUCGCCGUAAGGGACAUUACUGUGGAUAUGGACAUCGGGAAGACCAUUGCCAACGGGGAAAAAACCGCACAGCAGGUUGCGGCCAACGGAAGGAAGUAAGAGGGUGGUGCUGUAUGAAUUUUAGUGAAGAUUGUUUUUAAUAAUUAUAACAUACUUGUGAAAUAAAUUGGUUUACUAUUUUCGGUUUUUAUUUUAUCCCUUUUAAAAUGCGAUAAAUUUAGUUUUCUUUUAUUUUUCAAAUAUUUUUUUUAUCGGAAACCAGUUAAACUAAUCAGUCAUUAAGCAUUCCUAUACAACACCUUGUAUUUUUGAAAGUUAUACUAGCCCAGUAUAACCGGCAGAUAAACGAAAGCUAGACCCAACCAGUCAAAUAGCGUUUUAGUGUGUCUUUUAAACUAGUUAGUUUAGAUUUUUCUCAGAGUGUACACCAUGGUACAAGUUAUCAAGAAAAUUAUUUCAAAGCUAUCUUGAGUAAAGACAAAUAUCAGUAUAGAACUUAUUUCAAGAUAAUUGUAUCAUGCUACUUAUACCACAAGAAUGUCAGUAGGGCAAUUCAAAGUUCAAAAAAGUUUGAUAAUCCAACGUCCAUUAUCAAAAAAAAAAAAAA